GAUAUAUUCCCUCCGUUCUGAAUUAUUUAUCGCGGAUAUAAAUGUAUCUAAAUGUAUUUUAGUUUUAGAUACAUCCAUUUUUGCGACAAGUAAUUUAAAACGGAGGGAGUAUUAC
rfam:Triticum urartu cultivar G1812 contig819920, whole genome shotgun sequence.